AGAGUUUGAUCCUGGCUCAGGAUGAACGCUAGCGGCAGGCUUAACACAUGCAAGUCGAGGGGCAGCAUAAUGGAUAGCAAUAUCUAUGGUGGCGACCGGCGCACGGGUGCGUAACGCGUAUGCAACCUACCUUUAACAGGGGGAUAACACUGAGAAAUUGGUACUAAUACCCCAUAAUAUCAUAGAAGGCAUCUUUUAUGGUUGAAAAUUCCGAUGGUUAGAGAUGGGCAUGCGUUGUAUUAGCUAGUUGGUGGGGUAACGGCUCACCAAGGCGACGAUACAUAGGGGGACUGAGAGGUUAACCCCCCACAUUGGUACUGAGACACGGACCAAACUCCUACGGGAGGCAGCAGUGAGGAAUAUUGGUCAAUGGACGCAAGUCUGAACCAGCCAUGCCGCGUGCAGGAUGACGGCUCUAUGAGUUGUAAACUGCUUUUGUACGAGGGUAAACGCAGAUACGUGUAUCUGUCUGAAAGUAUCGUACGAAUAAGGAUCGGCUAACUCCGUGCCAGCAGCCGCGGUAAUACGGAGGAUCCAAGCGUUAUCCGGAUUUAUUGGGUUUAAAGGGUGCGUAGGCGGUUUGAUAAGUUAGAGGUGAAAUACCGGUGCUUAACACCGGAACUGCCUCUAAUACUGUUGAACUAGAGAGUAGUUGCGGUAGGCGGAAUGUAUGGUGUAGCGGUGAAAUGCUUAGAGAUCAUACAGAACACCGAUUGCGAAGGCAGCUUACCAAACUAUAUCUGACGUUGAGGCACGAAAGCGUGGGGAGCAAACAGGAUUAGAUACCCUGGUAGUCCACGCAGUAAACGAUGAUAACUCGUUGUCGGCGAUACACAGUCGGUGACUAAGCGAAAGCGAUAAGUUAUCCACCUGGGGAGUACGUUCGCAAGAAUGAAACUCAAAGGAAUUGACGGGGGCCC
rnacentral:rRNA from 1 species